rnacentral:rRNA from 1 species
UACGUAGGGUGCGAGCGUUGUCCGGAAUUAUUGGGCGUAAAGAGCUCGUAGGCGGUGUGUCGCGUCGGCCGUGAAAACCUGGGGCUCAACUGCGGGCUUGCGGUCGAUACGGGCAGGCUGGAGUUCGGUAGGGGAGACUGGAAUUCCUGGUGUAGCGGUGAAAUGCGCAGAUAUCAGGAGGAACACCGAUGGCGAAGGCAGGUCUCUGGGCCGAUACUGACGCUGAGGAGCGAAAGCGUGGGGAGCGAACAGG